rnacentral:lncRNA from 1 species
GAGUCUGAAAGCCUGAAUCGAUUUAUUCCGUUGGUUGGGUUUUUAUACUGAAACCCAACGGUAACUUCAACAGUAAAAACAAAAUUAUAAACGCGGGUAAAAAACACGUGUUCACGUUUGAUACAUCAACGAUUAAAACAUAAACGGAAAUAAACGGAAGGUAAACGGAAGGCCAAAACUCGUCGUUUCAUUAAAUCUCUUCUCUUCUUUCUCGACGUUGACCAACGGUCUUCCUUCUAACACCGUGUGUUCUUCGCUG